rnacentral:rRNA from 1 species
UACGAAGGGGGCUAGCGUUGCUCGGAAUGACUGGGCGUAAAGGGCGCGUAGGCGGACGGCUUUGUCGGGCGUGAAAUUCCAGGGCUUAACCUUGGGGCUGCGCUCGAGACGGGUUGUCUAGAGUUUGGAAGAGGGUCGUGGAAUUCCCAGUGUAGAGGUGAAAUUCGUAGAUAUUGGGAAGAACACCGGUGGCGAAGGCGGCGACCUGGUCCUUGACUGACGCUGAGGCGCGAAAGCGUGGGGAGCAAACAGG